AGGCUUGUAGCUCAGGUGGUUAGAGCGCACCCCUGAUAAGGGUGAGGUCGGUGGUUCAAGUCCACUCAGAGUUUACCA
rnacentral:tRNA from 1 species